UACGUAGGUCCCGAGCGUUGUCCGGAUUUAUUGGGCGUAAAGCGAGCGCAGGUGGUUUAAUAAGUCUGAUGUAAAAGGCAGUGGCUCAACCAUUGUGUGCAUUGGAAACUGCUAGACUUGAGUGCAGUAGAGGAGAGUGGAAUUCCAUGUGUAGCGGUGAAAUGCGUAGAUAUAUGGAGGAACACCGGUGGCGAAAGCGGCUCUCUGGACUGUAACUGACACUGAGGCUCGAAAGCGUGGGUAGCAAACAGG
rnacentral:rRNA from 1 species